UUCUUAUUUUAAUCAAAAGACUAAACUAAAAAGCUAAAGGCCACAACCCGUAGCCCAAAUUAAAGACUAAACUAAAUUUGGGUUUGUGGAAGUUUGAUAUUCAACAGGUCAUGGAGAUACGUAUACAUCAGCUUCUUGAAUUUUCUAAAUGAUUGGCUCUAUGUGAGGGUAACCUUGAUCAUGCUGCACUUAAGGGAGAUGCUUAAUAGACGAGCAUAAGCGAGAGAGCCCCAACAUUUUCUGAAUUCUGAGACAAGUACUUCAUGGAUAUAUGCUUCCCUUCAGCUGAGGAGCUAGCAAGCAAUUAAUAUCAACUUCCAGAGCGUAGAUAAUAAUAUUGAAGUAUCUUUUGGAGUUUUGUUUUUUAAUCUCUAUCACUACAACGUGAUUUAUCUUUCUGUUGUACGAGGCUUGAGUGUUUUUUUUUCCUCUUUGUAUAAUUGUUCAUGUUUUGUAAAUGAAUUCAGACCAAUAAAAAGUGCCUGAGAUCGAUCUGUA